UCUGUUGUCCAGGUAGACCUAUUGACAUGUCUGUUGUCCAGGUAGACCUAUUGACAUGUCUGUUGUCCAGGUAGACCUAUUGACAUGUCUGUUGUCCAGGUAGACCUAUUGACAUGUCUGUUGUCCAGGUAGACCUAUUGACACGUGGGGAGAUCUGUUCAUUCUCUCUUUAUUCAGUCUCGGUUAGUGAGUGAGGGUAUUUAUUAUGAUAGAUGAUCUGCUGUAGAAUUCCUUGUGUGCAUCGUUGGUAGCAUGUUUCGAAUUCGUCUUCCAUAAGUUUUUUCAAUACAAGAUGUGCUUGCUAAAUGAAUAAUAGUGAAUAAUAAUAAUAGUAUUCGGCCAGUCGAUGUUCAUCUUCAACGCAACACCUUGAAACCAGUGGAUCGCUCCGCGCGUCGCGCCUCAGCAGGCGACUGGACCGGUUUUGAUUACCGAUUGCGAAAAGCAAAGAGGUUUGGAGUGGAUUCUGGAUGGAAGGAGGCGAGGGAACAGGUUUCUUCCGUGGACGGUGUGUCUUCCUAAACGUCUUCUAUUGAUAACAGGCAUAGGACAUCUGAACAAGCCACCUCGGUCAGACUCGUCGUCAAGGGAAUUGUGACUCGCAGUGAUUAAAGGCAUAGGACAUCUGAACAAGCCACCUCGGUCAGACUCGUCAUCAAGGGAAUUGUGACUCGCAGUGAUUAAAGGUUGUCACCUUCCUGUCUGAGAGCUGCGUAGCUGUUGAGAAGGGCUCCGUGGAACAGGAUACAGGGAAAGGAACAACUUGGUGCAUCAUGAUGGAGUGCUGAAAGCCAGAGUAUUCCCCAACCCGGUGCUCCACACCACCCCCAGAGCGAGAGAAAGGGUUGAAACCAUAGCAACAGUCGUGUCCUACCUUGCCAUGAAUGAGGAGACCAGGACUUGUGACUUACCGAGGAAGCUGACAACAACACAAUCUCAGACGAAAGAACAAUGAUGCAUAUCCAGGGCCGGACUGACUG
rnacentral:lncRNA from 13 species